GGGACCGUUUCGGAUUAUUGGGCGUAAGAGCUCGUAGGCGGUUUGUCGCGUCUGCCGUGAAAGUCCGGGGCUCAACUCCGGGUCUGCGGUGGGUACGGGCAGACUAGAGUGAUGUAGGGGAGACUGGAAUUCCUGGUGUAGCGGUGAAAUGCGCAGAUAUCAGGAGGAACACCGAUGGCGAAGGCAGGUCUCUGGGCAUUAACUGACGCUGAGGAGCGAAAGCAUGGGGAGCGAACAGGAUUAGAUACCCUGGUAGUCCAUGCCGUAAACGUUGGGCACUAGGUGUGGGGGACAUUCCACGUUUUCCGCGCCGUAGCUAACGCAUUAAGUGCCCCGCCUGGGGAGUACGGCCGCAAGGCUAAAACUCAAAGGAAUUGACGGGGGCCCGCACAAGCGGCGGAGCAUGCGGAUUAAUUCGAUGCAACGCGAAGAACCUUACCAAGGCUUGACAUGGACCGGACCGGGCUGGAAACAGUCCUUCCCCUUUGGGGCCGGUUCACAGGUGGUGCAUGGUUGUCGUCAGCUCGUGUCGUGAGAUGUUGGGUUAAGUCCCGCAACGAGCGCAACCCUCGUUCCAUGUUGCCAGCGCGUAAUGGCGGGGACUCAUGGGAGACUGCCGGGGUCAACUCGGAGGAAGGUGGGGACGACGUCAAAUCAUCAUGCCCCUUAUGUCUUGGGCUUCACGCAUGCUACAAUGGCCGGUACAAAGGGUUGCGAUACUGUGAGGUGGAGCUAAUCCCAAAAAGCCGGGUCUCAGUUCGGAUUGGGGUCUGCAACUCGACCCCAUGAAGUCGGAGUCGCUAGUAAUCGCAGAUCAGCAACGCUGCGGUGAAUACGUUCCCGGGGCCUUGUACACACCGCCCGUCAAGUCACGAAAGUUGGUAACACCCGAAGCCCGGUGGCCUAACCCCUUGUGGGGAGGGAGCUGUCGAAGGUGGGACUGGCGAUUGGGACUAAGUCGUAACAAGGUAACC
rnacentral:rRNA from 1 species